UCCCUGGUAGUAUAUCGGUUAGUACACGCGCCUGUCAUGAAGAAAUCGUUUGAAGGUGCGCGCGAAAGCGGGGUUCGACUCCCCGCCAGGGAG